UAUUUUGGGAGAGAGUGUUUGUCCUGGCUCAGAUUGAACGCUGGCGGCAGGCUUAACACAUGCAAGUCGAGCGGUAGCACAGGGGAGCUUGCUCCCUGGGUGACGAGCGGCGGACGGGUGAGUAAUGUCUGGGAAACUGCCUGAUGGAGGGGGAUAACUACUGGAAACGGUAGCUAAUACCGCAUAACGUCGCAAGACCAAAGAGGGGGACCUUCGGGCCUCUUGCCAUCAGAUGUGCCCAGAUGGGAUUAGCUAGUAGGUGGGGUAAUGGCUCACCUAGGCGACGAUCCCUAGCUGGUCUGAGAGGAUGACCAGCCACACUGGAACUGAGACACGGUCCAGACUCCUACGGGAGGCAGCAGUGGGGAAUAUUGCACAAUGGGCGCAAGCCUGAUGCAGCCAUGCCGCGUGUGUGAAGAAGGCCUUCGGGUUGUAAAGCACUUUCAGCGAGGAGGAAGGUGGUGAACUUAAUACGUUCAUCAAUUGACGUUACUCGCAGAAGAAGCACCGGCUAACUCCGAGAUGUAAUUCGCGGUAAUACGGAGGGUGCAAGCGUUAAUCGGAAUUACUGGGCGUAAAGCGCACGCAGGCGGUUUGUUAAGUCAGAUGUGAAAUCCCCGGGCUCAACCUGGGAACUGCAUUUGAAACUGGCAAGCUAGAGUCUCGUAGAGGGGGGUAGAAUUCCAGGUGUAGCGGUGAAAUGCGUAGAGAUCUGGAGGAAUACCGGUGGCGAAGGCGGCCCCCUGGACGAAGACUGACGCUCAGUGCGAAACGUCUGCCC
rnacentral:rRNA from 1 species